UGGGGAAUAUUAGACAAUGGGCGCAAGCCUGAUCUAGCCAUGCCGCGUGAUCGAUGAAGGCCUUAGGGUUGUAAAGAUCUUUCAGGUGGGAAGAUAAUGACAGUACCGGGAGAAUAAGCCCCGGCUAACUCCGUGCCAGCAGCCGCGGUAAUACGGAGGGGGCUAGCGUUGUUCGGAAUUACUGGGCGUAAAGCGCACGUAGGCGGCUUUGUAAGUUAGAGGUGAAAGCCCGGGGCUCAACUCCGGAAUUGCCUUUAAGACUGCAUCGCUAGAAUUGUGGAGAGGUGAGUGGAAUUCCGAGUGUAGAGGUGAAAUUCGUAGAUAUUCGGAAGAACACCAGUGGCGAAGGCGACUCACUGGACACAUAUUUGACGCUGAGGUGCGAAAGCGUGGGGAGCAAACA
rnacentral:rRNA from 1 species